UGUAUAAUGGGUCAGCGACUUAUAUUCUGUAGCAAGGUUAACCGAAUAGGGGAGCCGAAGGGAAACCGAGUCUUAACUGGGCGUUAAGUUGCAGGGUAUAGACCCGAAACCCGGUGAUCUAGCCAUGGGCAGGUUGAAGGUUGGGUAACACUAACUGGAGGACCGAACCGACUAAUGUUGAAAAAUUAGCGGAUGACUUGUGGCUGGGGGUGAAAGGCCAAUCAAACCGGGAGAUAGCUGGUUCUCCCCGAAAGCUAUUUAGGUAGCGCCUCGUGAAUUCAUCUCCGGGGGUAGAGCACUGUUUCGGCUAGGGGGCCAUCCCGGCUUACCAACCCGAUGCAAACUGCGAAUACCGGAGAAUGUUAUCACGGGAGACACACGGCGGGUGCUAACGUCCGUCGUGAAGAGGGAAACAACCCAGACCGCCAGCUAAGGUCCCAAAGUCAUGGUUAAGUGGGAAACGAUGUGGGAAGGCUCAGACAGCCAGGAUGUUGGCUUAGAAGCAGCCAUCAUUUAAAGAAAGCGUAAUAGCUCACUGGUCGAGUCGGCCUGCGCGGAAGAUGUAACGGGGCUAAACCAUGCACCGAAGCUGCGGCAGCGACACUAAGUGUUGUUGGGUAGGGGAGCGUUCUGUAAGCCUGUGAAGGUGUGCUGUGAGGCAUGCUGGAGGUAUCAGAAGUGCGAAUGCUGACAUAAGUAACGAUAAAGCGGGUGAAAAGCCCGCUCGCCGGAAGACCAAGGGUUCCUGUCCAACGUUAAUCGGGGCAGGGUGAGUCGACCCCUAAGGCGAGGCCGAAAGGCGUAGUCGAUGGGAAACAGGUUAAUAUUCCUGUACCAGGUGUUACUGCGAAGGGGGGACGGAGAAGGCUAUGUUGGCCGGGCGACGGUUGUCCCGGUUUAAGCGUGUAGGUGUGUGUUCCAGGUAAAUCCGGUUCACUUUAACACUGAGGCGUGAUGACGAGGCACUACGGUGCUGAAGUGACAAAUGCCCUGCUUCCAGGAAAAGCCUCUAAGCAUCAGGUAACAUCAGAUCGUACCCCAAACCGACACAGGUGGUCAGGUAGAGAAUACCAAGGCGCUUGAGAGAACUCGGGUGAAGGAACUAGGCAAAAUGGUGCCGUAACUUCGGGAGAAGGCACGCUGAUAUGUAGGUGAAGCGAUUUACUCGUGGAGCUGAAAUCAGUCGAAGAUACCAGCUGGCUGCAACUGUUUAUUAAAAACACAGCACUGUGCAAACACGAAAGUGGACGUAUACGGUGUGACGCCUGCCCGGUGCCGGAAGGUUAAUUGAUGGGGUUAUCCGUAAGGAGAAGCUCUUGAUCGAAGCCCCGGUAAACGGCGGCCGUAACUAUAACGGUCCUAAGGUAGCGAAAUUCCUUGUCGGGUAAGUUCCGACCUGCACGAAUGGCGUAAUGAUGGCCAGGCUGUCUCCACCCGAGACUCAGUGAAAUUGAACUCGCUGUGAAGAUGCAGUGUACCCGCGGCAAGACGGAAAGACCCCGUGAACCUUUACUAUAGCUUGACACUGAACACUGGUCCUUGAUGUGUAGGAUAGGUGGGAGGCUUUGAAGCGCGGACGCCAGUUCGUGUGGAGCCAUCCUUGAAAUACCACCCUU
rnacentral:rRNA from 1 species